GACGAACGCUGGCGGCGUGCUUAACACAUGCAAGUCGAACGGAAAGGCCCUGCUUUCGUGGGGUGCUCGAGUGGCGAACGGGUAAGUAACACGUGAGUAACCUGCCCUUGACUUUGGGAUAACUUCAGGAAACUGGGGCUAAUACCGGAUAGGAGCUCCUGCUGCAUGGUGGGGGUUGGAAAGUUUCGGCGGUUGGGGAUGGACUCGCGGCUUAUCAGCUUGUUGGUGGGGUAGUGGCUUACCAAGGCUUUGACGGGUAGCCGGCCUGAGAGGGUGACCGGCCACAUUGGGACUGAGAUACGGCCCAGACUCCUACGGGAGGCAGCAGUGGGGAAUAUUGCACAAUGGGCGGAAGCCUGAUGCAGCAACGCCGCGUGCGGGAUGACGGCCUUCGGGUUGUAAACCGCUUUCGCCUGUGACGAAGCGUGAGUGACGGUAAUGGGUAAAGAAGCACCGGCUAACUACGUG
rnacentral:rRNA from 1 species